CUGACCCUGAAUCAAGGCUGGCAGCUUCUUGACGUUGUUGGUUUCAAGCAGGAACCUAAAGAGAUGUCUUUCUAUGAUCGGGUGGCCAUUUCAGAACUUGGGCAGUGAAAUGGUCAAUUCAUUAGAAACAAACAGCU
ensembl:snoRNA